rnacentral:rRNA from 1 species
GCUAUGGUGACUGCGGAGGAUCAUUACUGAGUUUUGAAGUGGGCUUGAUGCUGGCAGUCUUUUUGAUGCAUGUGCUCAGCCCCGCUCUCAAAUCCACUCAACACCUGUGCACUUUCAAAGUUGUAGUCCUCCGUAAUGGGAGUCGCAAGUCCUUUUUGACUUGCUGGGACUGCGCUUUGCCAUUUAUCACAAACGAUAUUCAUUGUUUUGUAGAAUGUCUAGCCUCAUUGUAGGUGAAACUUAAUACAACUUUCAACAACGGAUCUCUUGGCUCUCGCAUCGAUGAAGAACGCAGCGAAAUGCGAUAAGUAAUGUGAAUUGCAGAAUUCAGUGAAUCAUCGAAUCUUUGAACGCACCUUGCGCUCCUUGGUAUUCCGAGGAGCAUGCCUGUUUGAGUGUCGUGAAAUUAUCAACUCCUAUUCUUUAUUGAAUGGUGAGCUUGGAUUUGGAGAUUGCUGGUGAAAAUCGGCUUCUCUUGAAUGAAUUAGCUGGAAUUUGAUUCGCAGCAUAUAUGCGGUGUGAUAAUGUCGUCACUGUGUAGCUCGGAUUGUCUGGCUUCUAAUCGUCUUUCAUGGACAAUUUGAUCAUUUUGACCUCAAAUCAGGUAGGACUACCCGCUGAACUUAAGCAUAUCAAAAAGCGGGGAGGAAAAA